UACAGAGGGUGCGAGCGUUACUCGGAAUUACUGGGCGUAAAGCGCGCGUAGGCGGCUUUGCAAGUCGGGUGUGAAAUCCCCAGGCUCAACCUGGGAACUGCAUUCGAGACUGCAUUGCUAGAGUAUGGGAGAGGGGAGUGGAAUUUCCGGUGUAGCGGUGAAAUGCGUAGAUAUCGGAAGGAACAUCAGUGGCGAAAGCGACUUCCUGGACCAAUACUGACGCUCAUGUGCGAAAGCGUGGGGAGCAAACAGG
rnacentral:rRNA from 1 species